GGAGCAGGAGAGGAGGGACAGGGAGAGGAGCAGGAGAGGAGGGACAGGGAGAGGAGCAGGAGAGGAGGGACAGGGAGAGGAGCAGGAGAGGAGGGACAGGGAGAGGAGCAGGAGAGGAGGGACAGGGAGAGGAGCAGGAGAGGAGGGACAGGGAGAGGAGCAGGAGAGGAGGGACAGGGAGAGGAGCAGGAGAGGAGGGACAGGGAGAGGAGCAGGAGAGGAGGGACAGGGAGAGAUGUGCAAGGAAGAAGAGGGAGAGAUGAACAUGAGUGAACCUGACCAGUACUGGUGAUGUCAGCAGCUGUGAAGGAGCGGCUGGUUUCUUACUGAUCUAGUCUACAUCCCCGAGGAUCAGCUGAUCUAGCCUACAUCCCAGGUGAUCAGCUGAUCUAGCCUACAUCCCAGGUGAUCAGCUGAUCUAGCCUACAUCCCCGAGGAUCAGCUGAUCUAGCCUACAUCCCCGAGGAUCAGCUGAUCUAGUCUACAUCCCCGAUGAUCAGCUGAUCUAGUCUACAUCCCCGAUGAUCAGCUGAUCUAGUCUACAUCCCCGAUGAUCAGCUGAUUCUAGUCUACAUCCCCGAUGAUCAGCUGAUCUAGUCUACAUCCCCGAUGAUCAGCUGAUCUAGUCUACAUCCCAGCUGAUCAGCUGAUCUAGUCUACAUCCCCGAUGAUCAGCUGAUCUAGUCUACAUCCCUGAUGAUCAGCUGAUCUAGUCUACAUCCCAGCUGAUCUAGUCUACAUCCCCGAUGAUCAGCUGAUCUAGUCUACAUCCCAGCUGAUCUAGUCUACAUCCCCGAUGAUCAGCUGAUCUAGUCUACAUCCCCGAUGAUCAGCUGAUCUAGUCUACAUCCCAGCUGAUCUAGUCUACAUCCCCGAUGAUCAGCUGAUCUAGUCUACAUCCCAGAUGAUCAGCUGAUCUAGUCUACAUCCCCGAGGAUCAGCUGAUCUAGCCUACAUCCCAGCUGAUCUAGCCUACAUCCCAGAUGAUCAGCUGAUCUAGCCUACAUCCCAGAUGAUCAGCUGAUCUAGCCUACAUCCCAGAUGAUCAGCUGAUCUAGUCUACAUCCCAGAUGAUCAGCUGAUCUAGUCUACAUCCCCGAUGAUCAGCUGAUCUAGUCUACAUCCCAGCUGAUCUAGCCUACAUCCCCGAUGAUCAGCUGAUCUAGCCUACAUCCCAGCUGAUCUAGUCUACAUCCCAGAUGAUCAGCUGAUCUAGCCUACAUCCCAGCUGAUCUAGCCUACAUCCCAGCUGAUCUAGUCUACAUCCCAGCUGAUCUAGUCUACAUCCCCGAUGAUCAGCUGAUCUAGCCUACAUCCCAGAUGAUCAGCUGAUCUAGUCUACAUCCCAGAUGAUCAGCUGAUCUAGCCUACAUCCCUGAUGAUCAGCUGAUCUAGCCUACAUCCCAGCUGAUCAGCUGAUCUAGCCUACAUCCCAGCUGAUCUAGCCUACAUCCCAGCUGAUCAACUGAUCUAGCCUACAUCCCCGAUGAUCUAGCCUACAUCCCUGAUGAUCAGCUGAUCUAGCCUACAUCCCAGCUGAUCUAGCCUACAUCCCAGCUGAUUAGCUGAUCUAGUCUACAUCCCCGAUGAUCAGCUGAUCUAGCCUACAUCCCUGAUGAUCAGCUGAUCUAGUCUACAUCCCUGAUGAUCAGCUGAUCUAGCCUACAUCCCUGAUGAUCAGCUGAUCUAGCCUACAUCCCAGCUGAUCUAGCCUACAUCCCCGAUGAUCAGCUGAUCUAGUCUACAUCCCCAAUGAUCAGCUGAUCUAGUCUACAUCCCCAAUGAUCAGCUGAUCUAGUCUACAUCCCCGAUGAUCAGCUGAUCUAGCCUACAUCCCAGCUGAUCUAGCCUACAUCCCAGCUGAUCUAGCCUACAUCCCCGAUGAUCAGCUGAUCUAGCCUACAUCCCCGAUGAUCAGCUGAUCUAGCCUACAUCCCAGCUGAUCUAGUCUACAUCCCCGAUGAUCAGCUGAUCUAGUCUACAUCCCCGAUGAUCAGCUGAUCUAGUCUACAUCCCCGAUGAUCAGCUGAUCUAGUCUACAUCCCAGCUGAUCAGCUGAUUCUAGUCUACAUCCCAGCUGAUCAGCUGAUUCUAGUCUACAUCCCAGCUGAUCAGCUGAUCUAGUCUACAUCCCAGAUGAUCAGCUGAUCUAGUCUACAUCCCAGCUGAUCUAGCCUACAUCCCAGAUGAUCAGCUGAUCUAGUCUACAUCCCAGCUGAUCUAGCCUACAUCCCAGCUGAUCUAGCCUACAUCCCAGCUGAUCUAGUCUACAUCCCAGCUGAUCUAGCCUACAUCCCAGCUGAUCUAGCCUACAUCCCAGAUGAUCAGCUGAUCUAGUCUACAUCCCAGAUGAUCAGCUGAUCUAGUCUACAUCCCAGCUGAUCUAGCCUACAUCCCAGCUGAUCUAGCCUACAUCCCAGAUGAUCAGCUGAUCUAGUCUACAUCCCAGAUGAUCAGCUGAUCUAGUCUACAUCCCAGCUGAUCUAGCCUACAUCCCAGCUGAUCUAGUCUACAUCCCAGCUGAUCUAGUCUACAUCCCAGCUGAUCUAGUCUACAUCCCAGCUGAUCUAGUCUACAUCCCAGCUGAUCUAGUCUACAUCCCCGAUGAUCAGCUGAUCUAGCCUACAUCCCCGAUGAUCAGCUGAUCUAGCCUACAUCCCAGCUGAUCUAGUCUACAUCCCCGAUGAUCAGCUGAUCUAGCCUACAUCCCAGCUGAUCAGCUGAUCUAGCCUACAUCCCAGCUGAUCAGCUGAUCUAGCCUACAUCCCAGCUGAUCUAGCCUACAUCCCUGAUGAUCAGCUGAUCUAGCCUACAUCCCAGCUGAUCAGCUGAUCUAGCCUACAUCCCCGAUGAUCUAGCCAACAUCCCUGAUGAUCAGCUGAUCUAGCCUACAUCCCUGAUGAUCAGCUGAUCUAGUCUACAUCCCAGCUGAUCUAGCCUACAUCCCAGCUGAUCUAGCCUACAUCCCAGAUGAUCAGCUGAUCUAGCCUACAUCACAAGAAAAUGGCUACAUAAAAAAAAGGUGAAUUUGGCUAUAGAAGCAGUAGAAAUGGAAUGAGGUUUAAUUUUUGGGAAUGCUGUUGAAUGGAAUGAGGUUUAAUUUUUGGGAAUGCUGUUGAAUGGAAUGAGGUUUAAUUUUUGGGAAUGCUGUUGAAUGGAAUGAGGUUUAAUUUUUGGGAAUGCUGUUGAAUGGAAUGAGGUUUAAUUUUUGGGAAUGCUGUUGAAUGGAAUGAGGUUUAAUUUUUGGGAAUGCUGUUGAAUGGAAUGAGGUUUAAUUUUUGGGAAUGCUGUUGAAUGGAAUGAGGUUUAAUUUUUGGGAAUGCUGUUUGGGAAUGACGGUAUAGUAUUUAUAUGUUUAUCAGCUGCC